UUCUACCUUUUUGGUUGUGUUUUCCUGUUUUUCUUUAAGGACUUGUAACUCUUUAGCAGUGUUCUGUAUUUCUUUAAGUGAGUUAUUAAAUUCCUUCUUUAUGUCCUCUACCAUCAUCAUGAGAAAUGCUUUUAAAUCCAGGUCUACCUUUUCAGGUGUGUUAGGAUGCCCUGGACUGGGCGAAGUGGGAGUGCUGGGUUCUGAUGAUGAUGAGUGGUCUUGGUUCCUGUUAGUAGGAUUCUUAAGUUUACCUUUCACCAUCUGGCAAUCUCUGGAGUUAGUUGUUAUAGUUGUUUUUGUUUAGAGAUUGUUCCUCUGUUGAUUUUGUUACCCUCUAUCAGCAGACGUGGGAGACUAGCUCUCUCCUCUGAGUUUCAGUGGUCAGAGCAGCCUCUGCAGGCAAGCUCUCCUCUUUCAGGGAAGGUGCACAGUUAUCUGGUGUUUGGACCUCCUCCUGGCUGAAGAUGAAGGCCCAAAACAGGAUCUUUCCCAGAAGCUGUGUUGCUUUGGCCAGGAAGGUGGCCGGUUGUCUGGAGCCGAAGAUGACGCUGCCUCAGAAGCUCUCUGGCUCUUGCCUGUCCCAGAAACGGCUGGCCUCUGUAUUCCACACCGUCACCCGUGAAGCCUGCCCUCCGAGGAGUCCUGGAGCCAAGUAGGCUUCUGUCGCCGGGGCCUGAGGCACAAACCUCUUGGGCUGGCGGAUCCCUCUGCACUCACCAGGAAGGUGGCCGUUUUUCUGGAGCCGAAGAUGGUGCCACCUCAGAAGCUCUGUGGCUCUCGCCUGUCCCAGAAACGGCUGGCCUCUGUAUUCCACACCGUCACCCCUGCAGCCUGCCCUCCGCGGAGUCCCGGAGCCAAGGAGGCUCCCGCAGGGGCCUGAGGCACAAACCUCUCGGGCCGGGCGGACCCCUGUGCACUCACCAGGAAGGUGGCCAGUUGUCUGGAGCCGAAGAUGGCGCUGCCUCAGAAGCUCUGUAAACAUUUUUUUUAACACAUUAAAAAAUAAAUAAAUUUGACCCACGUGCUGCUCUCCUACAAGGAAAAUCAGCUUAUCUGAAAAAUAAAAAAUAAAAAUAAAAAAAAUAAAAAAAAUGGGUGGAUGGCAAUGACAAUGAAUGGAAAUCUGAAACUAAUAGAGGAGAUGAAAUGUGAGGAUCUCCAGGAAGAGAGGGAGAGACCUGGGAUAAGGGAAGAGCCAAAGAAUACGAUUGGGCGACCUUACUUGUGACUUACUACAUUGGGAAUAUGGGACUUGAAGAGGCCACCUCCUGUAGCCAUACAGUAACCCCAGUGGAACUAUAGAGAGACCAACUUAGAAAAUUUUCAACCCAAUAUUGAUUCUGUCUACAAGUAAUGCAGGCACAAGGAAGGGAGGAGAGACUGAGAGAAUGGCCAACUAAUAUCCUGUUCAUCAUGAGACAUACCCCAUGGGCAAGUACCAGUCCCUAAUACUAUUAAUUAUACUUGGUUAUGUUUGCAGACAGGAGCAUGUUGUCCUCUCAGAGGCUCCACGCAGCAGCUGACUCAGACAGAUACAGACACCCAGAGCCAAACAGUAGAUGGAGCUUGGGGGAACUUUUUUUUUCUUUUCCAUUUUUUAUUAGGUAUUUAGCUCAUUUACAUUUCCAAUGCUAUACCAAAAGUCCCCCAUAGCCACCCACUCCCCCUUUUUGGCCCUGGCGUUCCCCUGUACUGGGGCAUAUAAAGUUUGCAAGUCCAAUGGGCCUCUCUUUCCAGUGAUGGCCGACUAGGCCAUCUUUUGAUACAUGUGCAGCUAGAGUCAAGAGCUCCAGGGUACUGGUUAGUUCAUAAUGUUGUUCCACCUAUAGGGUUGCAGAUCCCUUUAGCUCCUUGGGUACUUUCUCUAGCUCCUCCAUUGGGAGCCCUGUGAUCCAUCCAUUAGCUGACUGUGAGCAUCCACUUCUGUGUUUGCUAGGCCCCGGCAUAGUCUCACAAGAGACAGCUACAUCUGGGUCCUUUCAAUAAAAUCUUGCUAGUGUAUGCAAUGGUGUCAGCGUUUGGAUGCUGAUUAUGGGGUGGAUCCCGGGAUAUGGCAGUCUCUACAUGGUCCAUCCUUUCAUCUCAGCUCCAAACUUUGUCUCUGUAACUCCUUCCAAGGGUGUUUUGUUCCCACUUCUAAGGGGGGGGGGCAUAGUGUCCACACUUCAGUCUUCAUUUUUCUUGAGUUUCAUGUGUUUAGGAAAUUGUAUCUUAUAUCUUGGGUAUCCUAGGUUUUGGGCUAAUAUCCACGUAUCAGUGAGUACAUAUUGUGUGAGUUCCUUUGUGAAUGUGUUACCUCACUCAGGAUGAUGCCCUCCAGGUCCAUCCAUUUGGCUAGGAAUUUCAUAAAUUCAUUCUUUUUAAUAGCUGAGUAGUACUCCAUUGUGUAGAUGUACCACAUUUUCUGUAUCCAUUCCUCUGUUGAGGGGCAUCUGGGUUCUUUCCAGCUUCUGGCUAUUAUAAAUAAGGCUGCUAUGAACAUAGUGGAGCAUGUGUCCUUCUUACCAGUUGGGGCACCUUCUGGAUAUAUGCCCAGGAGAGGUAUUGCUGGAUCCUCCGGUAGUACUAUGUCCAAUUUUCUGAGGAACUGCCAGACUGAUUUCCAGAGUGGUUGUAAAAGCCUGCAAUCCCACCAACAAUGGAGGAGUAUUCCUCUUUCUCCACAUCCACGCCAGCAUCUGCUGUCACCUGAAUUUUUGAUCUUAGCCAUUCUGACUGGUGUGAGGUGGAAUCUCAGGGGGAGCUUGGGGAAACUUAUGUAGGAACAGGAGGAACAGCCACAGGCCCCAAAGGGAAUAGGAAUGUCACAGGAAGAUCAACCUAGUCAACUAACCUCAAUGUUUGGGGCUCUCUGAGUCUGAACCAUCAACCAAAGAACACACAAGAGCUGGACCUAGACAUCUCUGCUCAUAUGUAGCAGAUGUGUAGCUUGGCCUUCAUGGGGGUACCAAAGAACUGGAGCAGGAUAUAUCCCCAAAGCGGUUGCUUGUACUUGGGAUAUGUUCUACUAGCUACCUUGUCUGGCCUGAGCUGAAGAGGAAGCACCUAGCCAUCAGAAGACUUAGAAUGCCAGGGUGGGGAAACAUCCAGGGGCUCCCUACGCUCUCAGAUGAGAAGUGGAUGGAGAUAGGGGAAGGAUUGUGAUAGGCAUGACUAGAAGGGGUUAGUGAGUGGAAUGUAACGUAAAGUUGUUAUAUAUAUUCUGUUAUACACAUUUCCACUUCCUUUUUUUGUAUUAUUAAGUAUAUAUUUUAUUUUUUUAAUUUUUUUCAGUUAAUUAUUUUAUGUAUUAACAUUUCUCCACUGUGCAUUUCAGCUAAGGUCACCCACAUUGAGUCCUGGGAGCCUGGUCCAUUCCAAGUCUCUGGGAAAUUAUAGAGGUUUACCCCCAACCCCACCCCCAGUAGCUGCACUGCAUAUUUCCGUUCAUUCUUCUGGCCCUAUGGGCUUCUGUCAUGUCUACCUUUACCUUUCUUCUUAUUAUAUGACAUUUUCUGACCCAAGGUAUGGAGUUAGGCAUGGAGAUAGUGGUGACUGUUUUCUGAGUGGAGUAUAUUUCAUACUCUAGUACCAGAUGUGCAAGGUGAAAAUCAGUAAGAGUAACAUG
rnacentral:lncRNA from 1 species